rnacentral:rRNA from 1 species
CUACGGGCGGCAGCAGUGGGGAAUAUUGGACAAUGGGGGAAACCCUGAUCCAGCAAUGCCGCGUGUGUGAAGAAGGCCUGCGGGUUGUAAAGCACUUUCGGUUGGGAGGACUGCUUCUAGCACUAAUAUUGUUGGAAGUUGACGUUACCUUCAGAAGAAGCACCGGCUAACUCCGUGCCAGCAGCCGCGGUAAUACGGGGGGUGCAAGCGUUAAUCGGAAUUACUGGGCGUAAAGCGCGCGUAGGCGGCUAGAUCAGUCGGGUGUGAAAGCCCCGGGCUGAACCUGGGAACUGCAUCCGAUACUGUCUAGCUUGAGUACAGGAGAGGGGAGUGGAAUUCCACAUGUAGCGGUGAAAUGCGUAGAUAUGUGGAGGAACACCAAUGGCGAAGGCAGCUCUCUGGCCUGAUACUGACGCUGAGGUGCGAAAGCGUGGGGAGCAAACAGGAUUAGAUACCCGGGUAGUC